GCUUGUCUCAAAGAUUAAGCCAUGCAUGUCUCAGCAUAAGCUUCAACACGGUGAAACUGCGAAUGGCUCAUUAUAUCAGUUAUAGUCUACUCGAUAGUACCUUACUACUUGGAUAACCGUAGUAAUUCUAGAGCUAAUACAUGCGUAAAUACCCAACUGCUUGUCGGACGGGUAGCAUUUAUUAGAUUGAAACCAAUGCAGCUUCGGCUGGUAUUGUGUUGAGUCAUAAUAACUGUGCGGAUCGCUUUUUAAGCGAUAAAUCGAUUGAGUUUCUGCCCUAUCAGCUUUGGAUGGUAGGAUAUGGGCCUACCAUGGCGUUAACGGGUAACGGGGAAUUAGGGUUUGAUUCCGGAGAGGGAGCCUUAGAAACGGCUACCACAUCCAAGGAAGGCAGCAGG
rnacentral:rRNA from 1 species